rnacentral:misc_RNA from 1 species
AAGGAGUCCAACACAUAUGCGAGUGUUUGGGUGUCAAACCCGGGCGCGAAAUGAAAGUGAAUGCAGGUGGGAUUCUUCGGAAGCACCAUCGACCGGUCUGGAUAUUUAUGAAAGAUCUGAGUAAGAGCAUCUGUGUUGGGACCCGAAAGAUGGUGAACUAUGCCUGAAUAGGGUGAAGUCAGAGGAAACUCUGAUGGAAGCUCGUAGCGGUUCUGACGUGCAAAUCGAUCGUCAAAUUUGGGUAUAGGGGCGAAAGACUAAUCGAACCAUCUAGUAGCUGGUUCCCUC